CCAGAGAUGGCGGGCCCCCGCGCCCCCGUCCCCAACCCUUUGUUGACCAAAACCGUUUUGCCUCGGGGGCAGAGCGUCCGCCGCCGCCCCCGGAGGACCACCAAACGCUGUCUCUGUACGUCAGAGUAUUGAUUAAAUGAAUGA
rnacentral:misc_RNA from 1 species